rnacentral:rRNA from 1 species
CAGCAUUUUAGUUUGCUUGCAAACUAAAGAUGGCGACCGGCGCACGGGUGAGUAACACGUAUCCAACCUGCCGAUAACUCGGGGAUAGCCUUUCGAAAGAAAGAUUAAUAUCCGAUAGCAUAUUGAGAUCGCAUGAUUUUGAUAUUAAAGAAUUUCGGUUAUCGAUGGGGAUGCGUUCCAUUAGUUUGUUGGCGGGGUAACGGCCCACCAAGACUACGAUGGAUAGGGGUUCUGAGAGGAAGGUCCCCCACAUUGGAACUGAGACACGGUCCAAACUCCUACGGGAGGCAGCAGUGAGGAAUAUUGGUCAAUGGACGAGAGUCUGAACCAGCCAAGUAGCGUGAAGGAUGACUGCCCUAUGGGUUGUAAACUUCUUUUAUAUGGGAAUAAAGUUUUCCACGUGUGGAAUUUUGUAUGUACCAUAUGAAUAAGGAUCGGCUAACUCCGUGCCAGCAGCCGCGGUAAUACGGAGGAUCCGAGCGUUAUCCGGAUUUAUUGGGUUUAAAGGGAGCGUAGGUGGAUUGUUAAGUCAGUUGUGAAAGUUUGCGGCUCAACCGUAAAAUUGCAGUUGAAACUGGCAGUCUUGAGUACAGUAGAGGUGGGCGGAAUUCGUGGUGUAGCGGUGAAAUGCUUAGAUAUCACGAAGAACUCCGAUUGCGAAGGCAGCUCACUAGACUGCAACUGACACUGAUGCUCGAA